rnacentral:lncRNA from 1 species
GGCGCACAAAAUGGUCAGAAUGAAUAAACUAUAAUUUUCCCAACAUAAUAUAUUAAAAGUUAAGUAAAAUAGGAUAAACAGGGUAUAAUAUAAUCAGUUUCGAUUAAAUUAAUUUACAUCUAAUAUUAGGUUAAAUGAAAUACUUAAUGUGUUCAAUAAAAAAAAUGCAAAACCCAAACCUCCAACAGACUUCGGAAGUUCUACGAGUUUGAAUGUGAAGUCGUUUUCAAUUGGUAUCUAAUCUGCUUAAGGUUUCUGGUAAAAAAAAACAUCUCUAGAUGGGGCUUCUAAGCCUUCCAUAUUAUUAUAAAGCAGACAAAAAUAAGACAUUAAAAAAAUUCAUACUAAAAUCUUUUAAACAAUUUUUUUUUAUAUAUAUAUAUAUCAGCUGGAAAAGCUUUAUGUUGGAUGUAACAUAUAAUACAAAAGUGUCAUUCAACAGACGUACAAAUCUAAAUGAAGAUAAAAGGGAAUCACAAUUCGCCGUUUCAGAAUCUAAUGCAUUAUUGGUAAUAUGUGACCAGCCACGACAUAUCCAGGCUUAUGGAGGUAGAACGUCAUUGUGAGAAAAUCGCCGUUAACUAUAUGCCAUUUCCAGGCUUAGGAGGGUACAUUGUCUAAAAUUUGAUUUUUGUAUAUUUAUCUAGAAUAUUCCGAAACAAAACUCUCUGUCAUGUUAAUAUUAUGACAUAUUGAAACGAGUCAGUACUACGGAAGCGUAUUAGCGUCACCACAUUUUUUUUUAUUUUUCUUCCUAUGUUUGCGUGAUAUAACGCAAAUCUU